rnacentral:pre_miRNA from 2 species
ACCUGGCAUACAAUGUAGAAUUCUGUGUUUAUUAAGUAACAGCUACAUUGUCUGCUGGGUUUC